rnacentral:rRNA from 1 species
GAUGAACGCUAGCGGGAGGCCUAACACAUGCAAGCCGAGCGGUAGAGUUUCUUCGGAAACUUGAGAGCGGCGCACGGGUGCGUAACACGUGUGCAACCUACCUUUAUCUGGGGGAUAGCCUUUCGAAAGGAAGAUUAAUACCCCAUAAUAUAAUGAUUGGCAUCAAUUAUUAUUGAAAACUCCGGUGGAUAGAGAUGGGCACGCGCAAGAUUAGAUAGUUGGUGAGGUAACGGCUCACCAAGUCAAUGAUCUUUAGGGGUCCUGAGAGGGAGAUCCCCCACACUGGUACUGAGACACGGACCAGACUCCUACGGGAGGCAGCAGUGAGGAAUAUUGGACAAUGGGUGAGAGCCUGAUCCAGCCAUCCCGCGUGAAGGAUGACGGUCCUAUGGAUUGUAAACUUCUUUUGUACAGGGAUAAACCUACCCUCGUGAGGGUAGCUGAAGGUGCUGUACGAAUAAGCACCGGCUAACUCCGUG